GUGAUAUCAGUAAAGGCACUAUACUUUUUGUCGACUCAAAGCGGUGGAUCAAACUUAGUAGGGACGACUGAUCCAGCGGUUAUUCUACGGAUAUACUUUUACUUGGUUGGUGCUUGUAUUGUGAUGAGUGUAAAGUUACUUUCAAAGAAGAAGAAAAGAGACGCUCUAUAUGAAGAUGUUCCUCCAUUGAAGAAGAAGUUAAGUAAGAAGAAAAAAGGCGCUAUGUAUGAAGAUGUUCCUCCAUUGAAGAAGAAGUUAAGUAAGAAGAAAAAAGGCGCUAUGUAUGAAGGUAAUGU